AUGAACGCUGGCGGCAGGCUUAAUACAUGCAAGUUGAACGGUAACAUGUUGUAGCAAUACGAUGAUGACGAGUGGCGCACGGGUGCGUAACACGUGUGUAACCUACCUUAUACAGGAACAUAACGUUGAGAAAUCGGCGCUAACAUUCCAUAAUAUUAUUUGUAGGCAUCUAUGAAUAAUUAAAACUCCGGUGGUAUAAGAUGGGCACGCGUUCCAUUAGCUAGUUGGUAAGGUAACGGCUUACCAAGGCAACGAUGGAUAGGGGUUCUGAGAGGAUAAUCCCCCACACUGGAACUGAGACACGGUCCAGACUCCUACGGGAGGCAGCAGUAAGGAAUAUUGGGCAAUGGAGGCAACUCUGACCCAGCCAUGCCGCGUGCAGGAAGACGGCCCUAUGGGUUGUAAACUGCUUUUAAUAGGGAUUAAAGUCGACUACGGUGUAGUUGUUUGCAAGUACCUAUAGAAUAAGCAUCGGCUAACUCCGUGCCAGCCGCAGC
rnacentral:rRNA from 1 species